UGGGGAAUAUUGGACAAUGGGCGAAAGCCUGAUCCAGCCAUGCCGCGUGAGUGAUGAAGGCCCUAGGGUUGUAAAGCUCUUUUGUGCGGGAAGAUAAUGACGGUACCGCAAGAAUAAGCCCCGGCUAACUUCGUGCCAGCAGCCGCGGUAAUACGAAGGGGGCUAGCGUUGCUCGGAAUCACUGGGCGUAAAGGGUGCGUAGGCGGGUCUUUAAGUCAGGGGUGAAAUCCUGGAGCUCAACUCCAGAACUGCCUUUGAUACUGAGGAUCUUGAGUUCGGGAAUGGUGAGUGGAACUGCGAGGGUAGGAGUGAAAUUCGUAGAUAAUCGCAAGAACACCAGUGGCGAAGGCGGCUCACUGGCCCGAUACUGACGCUGAGGCAAGAAAGCGUGGGGAGCAAACAGG
rnacentral:rRNA from 1 species